GUACUGAUUUCAGAAGCACAUACACUAAAAUUAGAAUAAUACAGAGAUUCACAUGGGCCCUGAGCAAGAAUGAUAUGAAAAUUUGUAGUGUUCCUUACUUUU
ensembl:snRNA U6 U6 spliceosomal RNA